rnacentral:rRNA from 1 species
UACGGAGGGGGCUAGCGUUGUUCGGAAUUACUGGGCGUAAAGCGCACGUAGGCGGACUGUUAAGUCGGGGGUGAAAUCCUGGAGCUCAACUCCAGAACUGCCUUUGAUACUGGCGAUCUCGAGUCCGGGAGAGGUGAGUGGAACUGCGAGUGUAGAGGUGAAAUUCGUAGAUAUUCGCAAGAACACCAGUGGCGAAGGCGGCUCACUGGCCCGGUACUGACGCUGAGGUGCGAAAGCGUGGGGAGCAAACAGG